rnacentral:rRNA from 1 species
AGUGAACGCUGGCGGCAGGCCUAACACAUGCAAGUCGAACGGCAGCACAGAGGAGCUUGCUCCUUGGGUGGCGAGUGGCGGACGGGUGAGGAAUACAUGGGAAUCUGCCCAAUCGUGGGGGAUAACGUAGGGAAACUUACGCUAAUACCGCAUACGACCUACGGGUGAAAGCGGCGGACCGCAAGGCGUCGCGCGCUCGGAUGAGCCCAUGUCGGAUUAGCUAGUUGGCGGGGUAAAGGCCCACCAAGGCGACGAUCCGUAGCUGGUCUGAGAGGAUGAUCAGCCACACUGGAACUGAGACACGGUCCAGACUCCUACGGGAGGCAGCAGUGGGGAAUAUUGGACAAUGGGCGCAAGCCUGAUCCAGCCAUGCCGCGUGAGUGAAGAAGGCCCUCGGGUUGUAAAGCUCUUUUGUCCGGAAAGAAAAGCUUUCGGUUAAUACCCGGAAGUCCUGACGGUACCGGAAGAAUAAGCACCGGCUAACUUCGUGCCAGCCGCCGCGGUAACAC